GUUUGGAUUUUCGUAAAUAAUUUUUUAUCUAUUGUUCAUAUAUUAUAAACUAAAUUAUGCUUGACCAUUUUGAUUGGACUAUCUAAUUUUUUAAAAAAAUAUUAAUACCAACCACACGAAGGUCUUGACUUUUAGGAAUAAUUUGAUCUUCAAUAAUUGGACAAAGCUCUUAUCUUUUACUCCACGUCUUGCGGAAAUUUGUAAAGCGAGUUGACCUAAACUCCUUGCACUGUGUCCAUCUCCACUUGCUUUCAUCUUUUCUAUUAAACAGAGAGAUUGCAGAAAUCGACUCUUUUAGUUUCGAGAUAGUAAAACUUGAAUUAUUAUAUCAGAACAGUCAGAUAAUAUCUAAUCUGUUUUUCGCCCAUGGCGGUAAAAUUGAGCUCUUUAGUUCUCACCAACCACACCUUUGCAAGGUAAAAAGCCAACACAAGUUUUAUAAAUCAUACCGACCGUCCCUAAAGUAAGUGGUAAAGGAUUUAGUGGUUGGAACCCGAGAUCCAAGUUCGAAUCCUAGUUGAUUUACAUUUCUAGCUGAGUUUAUUUUUAAAAUGAAAUAAAUGAAGCGGGUAGCGUGCUACCUAUCUCUCAAAAUAAAAAAAAUAAAAAAAAAAAGUUUUACAAACCAUGGUGUGUUGCAGCUGUAAUGACCAUCAACCAAGAGGCAUAACCAUUUUCCCCAAAAUCGCUUCUCCAUAGCAAAAGCUUCCAGCUGGUACAAUGCUGGAAUUUGUAAACUUUAAUGUAAAUUUUAAAAGUAAGUUUAUUUUUAAAAAAAAAUAAGUUUUUUUUUUUUUUUUUUUUUUGUUUUUUUUUUUUUGCUUAUUUCGAUGGGCCCGUGUCUCUGAAUACUUAAUUAAGCUUAUCUUCGACAAUUAAUUAAUGAAAACAAUCGCUUUCGUGCAGGCGAAGCGAUUGGCUGAGGAUGUCCUUUAGCUGAAGAUUAACUUAAUAAUUAAUUAUUCAUAACCCUAAGCAUUUCUGUUUAGCGUCUCGAGUUUUUUGAAUGCACUAGUUGGUCAAAAAGUGGAUUAAACAAUAAUGUGUUUUUUUUUCUUUUUUUUCUUUUUGUCUAUUUCUUCAGGCUUUGUAGUUUCUAAAAUCCAAUUGAACAUUGCAUGAUUCAAUGGGCACAAAUGAAAAUUCAAAAUGUAACUGCGAAAUAUUUUAGAUUAAAAAAAAAUUAUUGCUAUCCAAACAACCAAUCUGAAUAAAAAAGUUUCAGACAUGUACUUGCGAUAUGAGAUCAGAGCUAGCUCUAAUAUUAUGUUACCAAAAAGUCAAACAAUCCAAAUAUAUAGUUUAACCAAGGUGAUGUUUCUUUUCAGUAGUUAAUGUUAAUUUAAUUACCAAUUGCAACUUUAUUUAUUUAUUGAACACUUUAUACAUUUCCUCAUCAUGCAUGUGAGUGGUAAUGAUCACAUAACUCCCACUUAGGUUGCACUAAUGAGGAUUCCCAGUUGAGAAUCCUAGAGCCCUAAUUAAACUAAAAUAUUUAUUAAUUAAUUCUAAAAUAAUUACUAAUUAAUUUUUAAAGAACCAUGGGCUCAUCUAAGCAUAUGUUAUCUAUUAUCUAUUACUAUAUACAAGUCCGUUGACUAAUAUUACUGUGUUGCCACGUCCCCUAACUGCCUUUGGUGCACCUGGUGCACCAUAGACCACCUUCCCCUUCUCUCUCCCUAUAUAUAUAUAUAUAUAUAUAUAUAGAGAGAGAGAGAGAGAGAGAGAGAGAGAGGGGGGGGGGGGCUGGAAUACUAUUGAUAGCAAAAAUUUCUUUUUGCUAUCAAGUUUUUAAUUCUUAGAUGAGAAAUAGGGGUAGGAUGAUAUUAGUCUCUUAGGGUUGAGUGGUCCUCCUAGGGUUGAGUGGUCUCCACUGGGUUAUAGUAUUUAAUCCAAUGGUUAGAAAUAAUGAAAAGAGUAGAUCCAAAGGUUAAAAACUGGUAGCAACAAUAAAAUUUUGCUACUAAUAGUAGCCCAGUCCAACUAUAUAUAUAUAUAUAUAUAUAUAUAUAUAUAUAGAGAGAGAGAGAGAGAGAGAGAGAGAGAGAGAGAGAGAGAGAACUAGGCUAGAAUAUUAUUAAUAGCACCAAAUCAUUAAUGCUAUUAAAUUUUCGACCCUUGGAUGAAGCGAUAUAUAUAUAUAUAAUUUUAAAAUUUUAUAUCAUAAAUUUUAAAUUUUGUAUAUCGAAAUUUUAAAUUCUAAAUUUUAAAUUUUACUAUUUUAAAAUUUAUAAUAUUUAUUCCCAAAUUUUCAACUUCAAAAAUUAAAAUUUUAAAUCUCUAUUGUGCUUUCUUUUAAUUUAAUUUUUAUUUAAUUUGAUGUUCAUAUCUUUUCUAUUUUUUUCCUCUCUCACAAGAAAUGUGCAUGCCGCUUUUCUCUCUCCCUUUGUUUACUUUUUAAUUUAAUACUUUUUUUCUUUUUUUCAAAUAAAAGAUAUGAAUAUUUAAAAUAAUUUUAAACUUGAAUUUAUUAAUUAUAUAUUUUUAAAAAUUUUUAUUUUUAUUUUUCUACAUUAUGGGUAAAAUAUAAUAUAUUUAAAAAUUUAAAAAUGCUCUCUCUAAUUUUAAUUUUUUAUUUAAUAUUCUCUAUUUUGCUAAGUAAGAAAUAUAUAUACAACUUAGUAUUUUUAUUUGACUCCAUUAAAUAAUAACGUGUAAUAUAAUAAUUAUGAAUUUAAAAAUUUUACCCGCGCUUUGCAUUACAUUGCUCGUCAUCAUCAUCAUAGAUAUACAAGUUGCUUGGGAGAGGGGGGUUGUGACACGUGGCGCGCUCCAAUUGUAGUAGUUGUCAAAUCAAAGUUACCAUCACAGUGGCGUACAAGGUUAAUAGUAUGACCAAAAAUAAAUAAUGAAAAACACAGGGUAAAGGUUCAAUAACAUGCGAGGGGUAGUGUGACAUUUGGCACUUUUCGAUUUCUAUGUAAAAAUUUAAGGCCUUCACAAUAUUUUAAAAUUACCAACCAUAAUAACAACUUGGCAGAUUUAUUAGACUUGUAAGGAAAAAAUAAUUUAAAAAAAGCUAAAAUUGACCAAUAAUUUUUUUAAAUUUUGAUUAAAAUUUUACUUUGCCCUUCAAAUUUUUAAUUUAGUUAUUUAAUGUUUAAAAUUUUAAAAGAGUUUCAUCUAGUCUCUAUCUUUAUAGCCUGCAUUCAGAGUUUUCAGACGCGAGCUGCAACGCAAAGACCUCCUGAAAUCUAGACAAUAACUUCCAUUCAGAAUGCAUGUAAACAAUCAUAAAACCCAUCUCAUAUUUUAGUCUCAUCAUCCAUUAACCUGCAUUUUUCUAUUUGAUCGACCCUCGAGAAAAACUAUGACAAUGGUGAAAAGACCAUGAACUUGCGUUGCAUUGAUGCGUGCAAGGCAAGGGCUUAUCCCACAAGCAAAUAAUAAAAUUUGGAAAUACAAUUUUCAAGUACAAAGAACUCAACAAUAAAAUUGCAGCUGCAGCGCUCUGACUACAUAAAAUACUAACGAAUAUUGAGUUCAAAUCCUACGUUUGAAGGUUUCUAAGGCGCCAAACUUUCGAUUUCCGGAAAAGAAAAAAACAAUAUAAAACACUAAUUUGCAAGGGGAAAAAGAAAAAAAAAGAGAGAAAACCUAGGAGAUGUUUAGAAUUGUGAUAAAUCCAAAUGACCUAAAAAAGAGCAUCAUCUACUUUUAUUCACACUUGAUGUUCAUUGGGUGCAUGCUCACAUUCUCCAGGUGAGAGAAAGUGAUCACGAAAUGAGGCCAUGUGAAAAGACAAAGAGGGAACUUGUGAUCAUGUGUGUGUGAGUUGUUAAGAACAAAGCCCAUCAUCUUUUCCCAGCUUUUCUAUGUGCAGUACUGUAGCUUUAUCUAAUUGAAGUCUCAAGGAUGCUCUCUCUACCAAUGAGAAAUAUCCCAAAAACUUUGGGUGUCAGAAAAAGCACAUCUUGAAUAAUUGUUAACUGAGGCAAGAACAUGGUCUUCACCAUUUUCAAAGCCACCAUCACCAAUUCAGAGGAUCCCAAACAAGGUUCUGAUCUAUCUUAUAAUAGUUCUAAGAUAAGUACAUUACAUUCAAUUCUGAAGAAAGAGGAGACCAUGAAGCAUAAUAAAAUGUGUAAGAACAGGCUACAAUGGACUCAAAAUCCUCUCUGAGGUAAAUCUGAUGCUCAAACAUUUGACAUUACAAUUCGCGCUAUUGGAAAUAUUUUAAAAUGCUUACAGUUAAGCCAAAAUCCAAAUUCCAUCAAACCAUGAAUAGAAGCAGAUGUAGCGCGCUUGUAAUGGAGCCAUAACAUUAGGGAACAAAAAAAUAACCACAUAAAAAAAGUAGCAAAAAUCCUCAUAGUGGUGCUUACUAGGAUAACACCAUGGUAGCAUAAAAUGGAAAGGACUUCGAUUUAGCAAAAACAAAAAAAGAAAAGAAAGAGAUACCUUUAUUCCCUUGCAAAGUGGCACGGCUGCUGACCAAAAUAUUAUGUAUUGUGAAACAAGAUCACAAAUGCACCGUCCAAUGUAGAAACAACAAAGUGGAUUUUUAUUUGGAUAAUAAAUCAAUAAAGCAGGAGAAAUGUUAGUGGCUGAGCUUGUUUUCAAGUACAUGGUAAGGUCUUCUUUGCUGCAAAUUGCUAGUCUCUCCACGUUUCUUUCAGCUGCUCUAUAGAUCCCCGAAAGGAGAUGCUUUGUGUCCCCAGAAAGUGUUCUCUUUAAUGUUACUAAUGUGUUGAUAGAUUUCAAGUGGCAUCUUAGUGUGUAUAAACAAAUUGAAACCCUUCAUAUGAUGUACACCAACACAUCGACACCAUAUAAAGAUGGCAAUUAUGGAGACAUGUAACAAUACUGCAUUCCCAAAAGAGUACCGCUACAUGUUCCCCAAAAUGCUCACCAAUCAUGCAGCCAAAAAAAUCGUAUGGUGAUAUUAUCAGAAUCCAAAAUGAAUAAAAGCAAAGGCCAUUUGGACGUUUUAUUGCAUGAUGAUAUUACGAAAACCAAAAUUACUACUAACGAAUAGAUUCAAUCAAUCUACACUUUUUAUUUAUUUACAAACUUUGAGCAUUCAAUGAAUUUGCUUUGCCCUAGUAAACAUAGAUCAAUUAAUAUCACUUCUGGAAAUUAUUGGCAAAACGUGGUUCACCUUGUCAGCUGCGGACCAUCCAGACAGGUAUCCUUCAUUCCAUCACUUCUUGAAAUCAUCACCACAUAGUAAAUUUUACUCUUAAUAAUUUCUGAAAUUAUAAAGGUGAUGAUUAGAGUAAGUGAGAAUGAAGGUUAAAUUGCCAAGCAUCCAUAGUUGAAGUGGUGGAACAGGUUCAGAUGAUAAUUUCUCUGCAUGGAGAGAACUAUGGCUUGGCAAGCUUUACAAAAAAGGAAUACAAAAAUGGGAGCAAAACUAUGGAAAGCAAACCUUUGCAAGUCACUGGCAAAAAGGCUAGGAAACUAGAUGGCAAUUUUCACAUGUACCUGGUGAAGCCAACUUGAGAGAAGACGACAAGCCAAACAGCUUUUGCAUGAGGUAGGAGGGAUCAAGGUUUAUGCUGCAACUUGGAGAGUCACUAUACAUUUUAUCACAGUAUGUACACAAGUUAACAGCUCAGAACAUUGUGAUCAAGAAAUUAUUAAAACUAAUAAUCACGGAGCAUAACAAGAGCUGAGAUAUUAAUGAUACAGAUAAUCCCCCCAGUUCAAGAUGAAUGGUAGGUGAAACUGAUACUCAGCAUCAUCAAUAGUUGAACAGACAGAGACAUCAAUACUUGAUAACACGAAGAGAUGAGCAAUUGAUGAAAGUGAUACUUGGUACUAAAUAGCAUGAAGAGCAAACUGGUUGAAGCAGAAAUUUCAUACUAUGCAAGCGUAAUAAGGAGUUGCUAAAGCCAGAGCCAAUACUACACAGUAGGGGUGGCAAUCCAGCUCACUGUUCACGAGCCAGUUCCGAAAUAAGCUCGAGAUCGAAUCGCUCGUUUAAUAAAUGAGCCGAACACGAGCUGAAUUUUUCAACUCGUUUAAUAAACGAGCCGAACACGAGCUAGGGUCAGCUCGCUCGUGUUCAGCUCGAUAACAGCUCAAAUACAUAUAUUUUACAUUUAUAUAAUUUAUUUAAUUUAUAUAUAUAUAUAUAUAUAUAUAAAUAAUUACAUAUAUAAUAUAUAUAUUUUUAUUGUUUGAAUUUUAGUAACAUAAAAAUAUAAAGGUGAGCUCAAUUAUAAAAAGAUUCAUUUAUAUGUAAAGUUUCAACCAUUAGAUUAAAGUAUAAUGGGUAAGAUUUUAUAAAUUUAUUUUUUAUAUAUAUCUAAUCUAAUUCUUUUAACUUAUUGUUCGUUGGCCAGCUCGUGAGCUAGCUCGUGUUCGGCUCGUUUAUUAACGAGCCAAACACGAGUUGAAUUUUUCAGCUCGAUACUUUAACGAGCGGAAUGCGAGUCAGGGUUGGCUCGCUCGUGUUCGGCUCGUUGACACCCCUACUACACAGUAUGAGGAUUUAGGAAUUGGUAAAGUUAAUGUACAAUAGCCGAGCAGUUGAUAAAUCUAAUAACUAGUGGCAAAAGGAUUAAGCAGUCAAGAAAGCCAACAAUCGGACAAUAUGAAGGUAGGACUGUUGGUGAAGCUAACAAUCAUAAUAUGUAGUUUGAGCAACUGAUGUAGCUGACACAACAGCACCAAGAGAUAAGCAUCAUAUCCACAUAGCUUGCCUGUGUAAGAGUGUAAGUUAUAGGCAGCAAUAUUAAGAAGUCCGUUAUGCAAAAUCAAAGAGCAUGCUUCUUCUAAUGCUAAUCGUUGCUCAGAAAGAUGAAUUCAAAUUUCAAAGUGUACAAGCAAAUUUAUCAUACUUAUUAUGCCAUAAAUUGGGACCAGCAAAAUCCCUCAAAAUAGCUGGGCUUCAGCACAAUUUACAAUCUUCGACAAACUAUGAUAAUGUUACAGAUAAGUUGAGAACAGCAAAACGCAUCAUGAUAUUACAAGCAGGUUGUCGUUUGCCUCCUCCAAGCUCAAGUCUGGAAAAAAGUAUAGAGAUGUUUCAGAAUCACGAAGGGGAAGAAAAGAUAUUGCUUGAUGACUAGUAAAGACUGAGUAGGAAAAAAAAAAUUGAAACUAAUCUUGAGUUCAUAUCCUUCCACACAAAAGCAGGUAAUUUGCCUACUUUAUACUAGGAAGAAACCAUAACAACCACUUGUUGCCAAAGAUAUCUCCUAUUGAUUCCCUCGAAGAAAAGAUUCUCCAACCAACUAUCAAAAGAAUGCAUGGUCCAUUGCAUUUCCAUGAAUAUGAAUCACUUCAUAUAUCUAUUUCCAUCUAGACAACUAUGAUUUAAGAUCCUAACAGUGAAACUUUACAAUUUUGUUUAAAUAAACCACAACAAAUAAAUCAAUAAAUCAACAAAAGGUUGCACAAGAAUAUAUAGAGGAACACGCACAUGCGACAUGAGCGCAAAAGAGCAUCCACUCGCACACACAAUCGUGCAUUUUCUACGCAACAUUUUGUAGUUCAUUGAUUGAUUCUUUUGUACGAAAUUAUUUUGUGGACAUGAUCAUGACUGAAGAGCAGUUGAUGCACUAAUCUUGUCAUCUCUUCAGCGCCAACCACGAAAAGAUGUUUUGAAAGAGAGAGAAAUUAUUUUAGUAGCGCAGUUUAUGGCAGCGUUCACAAUUCACAACCAAACAAAAGAACAGUAAAUAUAAGUCUCUCAUAGAAAGGAGGUUUUUUUUAAGGGUUAAUUACUUACAUGUCCCUGCAAACUUAAGAAAUUGCAAAUCUAACCUGGCUAAUAUUGAAAUAACAAAUAGAAGAUUACAUAAAUCAUCUUCACCGUCUUUGAAUAACCUAGUUUGAUUAGAACAACUAUCCCUAACUUCAUGGAGAAAGAAGAAAUAACAAUUGGAGAAUUCUCGUUGAGAGAGAUAAUAUCUCCAUGUUUCCAUUUCAAACAUGGAAAUGAUUAGACACUCUCUAACAUACCGAGUCAAAAGUAAACUUGAUACUCUUAUUUAAACAGGACAGGAAAUAUUGCUAUAGAGCCUCAAUGGGUACCAUCUUCACCACCAGUGCAUGCAUGACAGGAGGGGAGAGCAUUCGGUCGGUUCAGUCAAUUUUUAGUUGAAUGGUAAACCAAACCGAAUUUUUUUAUUUAACAGUUUUCUAAACCGAACCGACCAAACUAUUACUCCAAACCAAAAAUCAACCAACCCGGGAUUUUUUGGUUCGGUUUGGUCGAUGUGGUCGGUUUGGGUCUUUUUAACUUGGGGCUUCAAGAUUAGUAUAUAGCCAACAAUUUAGAUUUGCUUGUUUAUGAAAUUCAAAUAAUUUAUAUUCAAAUUUAAUUUGCACUAAAGGAAUUAAGAGGAAAUAAUCACAAAAAAUUUGUUAGACUAAAUAGAAAAUUUUAGUUUACUUUUUAAAAUAUUUUGAUAAAAGGGUUAUAAUAACUAAAAGGGGCUGCUAUGCAAAUAUCUUGACCUGAUUGAUUAAUUCAGUCGGUUCAGGUUUUAAUUUACACACCUCAACUGAACACCAAAAACCGAAAUUUUACAAACCAUUUAAACUGAAAAAACAGUCAAACCUUAUUGGCCAAAUUAGGUCAGUUUGGUUCAAUAAUUCGGUUUUCACCGAACAGUGCUCACCCGAAGCAAUUAUCCUCUCAUGCAACACAUAUAGCAGUUUUCAUGCAUAAAAAUUUCUUACAGCCAAGAUGCUUAAGUUACUGUUAUUUUAAGUCUUCAACCAAAUCAACAAUUACUUUUGUAGGCCUUUCAGAUCUUGUUUGUCAUAUUCAAUUGUUUAUAUUAUUGAAAGGUCUCCACAAUUUGACCUCAUACUUUUGUUAGAACUCUGUGAAAUCACACUAGUUCCAGUAUUGGAAUGCAUUGCACAUAUGGUUCACGUAUAAGAACUGCACCAUCCUCAAGAAGCAAUUCAGUGGUAUCUAACAACAUGUCAGCAUCAAACCUCACGAAUAAUGUAGACCGAACUUGUUGUUGAUUCCAUGUCCUACAUACUAGCUAGAUUUAAAGAUACCUAGCUUGGUGCAAUAAGCAAAAGAUUUUUGAACCAUCAAAAGAUAUCACAGAAAAGAUACAACGAAAGCUAAAAGAACAUAAGAACAGACAUUCUCAACUUCUACAAACCAAUACAACAUUUGGUCUAAACUCGUGAUUUUGUCCAAUAACUUUGAUUUCCAAAGCAUAUAUCCAAGAAUUUAAGUGCCGUGCCACGAGAUCGUACCAAAAACUUGCUGGCACGGUACAGCAUGGUGCGCGCCUUGUCGUGCCGAUGCGUGCCGGUCAUAAAAAAUUCAUGUGUGCCGACACAUAAUAGUAUGAAAUAUUUAUUUUCUUUAGCAACAAAAUAUUUUAACUAUUUAUUAUGUAUUUUUAUCAUUUUUUUUGAAUUUUAUUGAGAAAAUUACAUACCAUUUUAAAGAAUAGAGGGUUUUGAGCUAUGUCAUCGGCACGGAAUCUGUAUCGUACCGAUAUUUUAUUGGCACGAUACGGCACAUGCUGAUGGGCACUUAAAUCCUUGCAUAUAUCUAUAGCAGUGAAAUGCAACCCUGACAUUCUAAUAGUUCAAAUGAAGCAGCAUUUACUAACACUAGGCGAGGAAGAAAAUAACUCAAGUCCCCAGAACUCACUUACCUAGCGCCCAACGUAAGGUGGCAAGCUCGAACCACCUGAUCCAAUACCAGAUUGAGACCUCAAAGAAACCGUCGAAUGCGGCUGAUUGCUUUGGUAAGCCCCAAAGCCUUGCAAAGCGGCUUGAGAUCCAUAGCUAGCAAUAGCACUGGGACUAAUACUAUUGAUCCCAAACCCACCUCCUCCGCCUAGCCCUACCCCGACUCCGUAAAGCGGCUGCGUUGCCCCGCUCACACCCCCUGCAGCGGCCACCGCCCCUGCGAUUGCCGGACCCAGCAGUCCAACACCUGCAUUCUGCCCUAAAAGACCUGCCAUGGGCGUCGCCGGGCUCAGACCCUGGCCUACCAAGCCAGCCAUCUGAUUAUAGCCGAGCCACGACUGAAGGGCCAAGUCAUUUGGCUGCAGGGGCGCCUGUGCCGCAGCCACAGGAGGGGUGGGAGGAGUGGUGGGGCCGGCGGGGGUCUUCGGCUUUAGCCCCUCGAGCGCCCUCUGGCAUUGCAGCUCGCACCCAUCAAACAUCUUCUUGGGCUCUUCGAGGGCCUUGCGGCACCCGUCGACGGUCUUGUAAACAAAGAUAGCAAAUCCCCGCAGCCGCCCCGUGGCGCGGUCCACGCCGACGGGUCCCUCCUCGAUCUCACCGAAUUGCUGGAAAAACGCGCGGAGGCGAUCGGGGGCGGCGUGGGUGGGGAUGUUGCUGACGAAAAGCUUCCGACCCGUGGCCUCGGGGGCGGCACCCUGGGAGCCCGGGGGGCCGAAAGACGCCAGCUGGCACGAGGUCGAGCGGUUGCCGAUGCGCUUCUGGGGCUCCUUGAGGGCGCGCUUGGCGGCGGCGCGGGUCUUGAAGCGGACGAAGCCGUAGCCCUUGCAGCGGCCCGUGGCGCGGUCGGAGACGACCUUGCACUCCUCGAUCUCGCCGAAGGGGGCGAACGCGGCGGAGAGCGCGUCGGCGGUGGUGUCCCAGCCGAGGCCGUGGACGAAGAUGUUGCGGUGGACGGGGUCGGCGUCGGCGGAGGUCGAGAGGCGGGAGAGGAGGGAGGGGCUCUUCAACGCCGCCUCCGUGAGGAGCUCCACGAGCUGGUCCUUCCCGAAGGGUUCCAGAAGCUUCCGCACGGAGUCGGGAUCCGAGGGGUCGAUCGUCUCCUCCGCCGCCGCCGCCGCCGCCGCCGCGGAAGUGGCGACGUUCUCCUCCUUCUUGCGGUUAGAUUCGUCCUUUUCUUCGUCCUCUUCGUCUUCGUCUUCAUCGUCGUCGUACUCUUCCGUGGAUUCCUCUUCGUCUACUUCUAGUUCCUCCUCUUCGACCUCCUCCUCCUCCUCCUCCUCUUCUUCUUCUUCUUCCUCCUCCCAGGAGGAGGAGGGAGCAUCGGCCUCAGACUCGGGCUUGCGCUUCUUCGCCAUUGACGAGGAGGAGGGUGAGAAGGGUGAGGUCGUGUACGGGGGAGAUUAGGAUUAUUAGGGUUUUGGUGGAUGGGGGAACGGAGGGAUAACGGAGAGCUUCGUUUUGGGUUUUGCGAUUUCGCACGCAUUGAAGUGCACGUGAGGCGCACGUGAGGUUUACGUGGGCUGGGCCGAGUAUUUAGGCUCAGAAUGGGCCAUAAACUGGACCUAUAUUGAGAAUUGUCUAUUGUGUCCAAAAAAAAAAAAAACACGAAAAGCAGGUAGAAAUAUAUUGUGCAAUAUGCGCAACAAAUUAUUACAUACAAAAAUAAAUAAAAUUUUUUUUGUUGCACAUUUUAGCACCCCCAAUGUUCUUUACUUCAAAUCCUAUCCAACAAGAGAGAGAGAGAGAGAGAUGAAUUUUCAGUUUUUAAUUUGCUUAUUUUGUUGCAAAAAUUAAAAAAAAAAAAAAGAUGCUUUCGAUGAAAAGCAGUUUUACAUUCUUUUUUAAUAAAUUUUACGUAAUGAGCCAUAUCAGCUAACAGAUAUUUGCACUACUGUUAUAGUUGAUUAACUUAUAGCACAUCCAGGCGAAGAACGACAAUUCUGUAAAAUUUUCAAAAAAAGGCAAAAGAAAGAAAAAGCUUUGUCAAACAAAUACCUGGAAUAUAAAGAUACAUGAAAUCCAAUAACAAAACAAGGUUUCAAAAUUUUCCUUUCCGGAAUGAAAAUGAUUUUCGGAUCUCUUCUACGUGGAACCAAACACUACCUAAAAAGUGAAAAUGCAAGAAGUCGUAGAGAGGCGAUUGAAGGCCCACUACUCUAGUGAGGGACAAGGUAGGUGCAACACAUGCGGUCGGCGACCAAGGCCCAAUACUUGUGGGCUCCAUCAGGGUGGCCCAUUAGUUAGGUAGGUUCUAAGCAGGUGGGGGUAGGAAUGCAAACGGCGCAGAUCCAGAGGCAGCAGGGUGCCCCACACCUAAGUUUUUGACGGGGUGGGGUUGACUUAACAGACUGAUUUUUAUCUUAUUUUUGUUCCCACUGAUCACCCUACUCCGAACAGAUCGAAAUUUAAACAGAUUUUUAACGAAUUUUUUACUAAUAGGAAGUCAGGACAGAUAACAAGGAGGAAAGGUCCCAACCUCCUCCAAUUAUUUUAGUGGAUUGGAACAAAUUCGAGACACAUUUUGGACUCCCACUUAUUAUCCCAUUUAUAGCAGAUCGGCAUAGGAGCUUCAUCAACUUGGAUCUAUUUACAUUGCGAGUGGAGAGCAAGGAAGAAAGCACUAAAGAACACAAUGGGUGGAUUUCUUUCUCUAUCUGAAUUGUACCAAUUGUACUAGCAACAAACUACCAGAGAGUGAAUGAAAGCAGUAAGGUAUCAGAAACACAAUAUUAAGAAAAUGCUAAUAAAGUCUUUUUUCUUUAGAAAAAAAGGUAAUAUACUAUUCGUUUCGUUUAUUUUUAAAAAAAAUAAAUUUAGUUAAAAAUAUGAAUAAAUUAGGAUUCGAAUUUGGCUCCUCAGAUAUCAACCACCAAACUCUUUGUUACUUGCGUUAGAAACAGUCGAUAAAAAUACUAAUAAAAGUUAAAAUGCAAUAAACUCCACUCUUAAUAUCAUGAUUCACAGACAGUUCCUAGCACGGUAAAGGACUUGGUGGUUGGUACCCGAGAUCCAAGUUCGAAUCCUAGUUGAUUCACAUUUCUAGCUAAGUUUAUUUCUAAAUGAAAUAAACGAAGCUGGUAGCAUGCUAUUUAUCUCUAAAAAAAAAAAAAUCAUGAUUCACAUGUUAUCCUCUUAUAAAAGGAAAAUCCCCCAUGUAACCUUCUAGAGCUAUGGGCAUUACUUGGAAUUGCUGACACAUUAAAAUGCAAAGUAUAAAUAUUCUGAUUGGUUCCGUAGGCGACCGUAAAUAUAUACAAAUCACAUUUGUUCAAUUAAUGAAGGAUUUCUUUGAUUCUAUGAAAAAGUGGAGAGUAUAUCUGUAUAAACCAACUAUAUUGGCCAAAUAAAAUUAGGCCGCCUUGAAUACCAAACAGGCUCUUAAUUCGGACUACUAUCGCUUAAAACAUCUUCUUAUCGCAUCAUAUGUCCAAAAACUAUUUUAAAACAUCACAUAUGUGUCUUCUUCUUCACUUGCCCAAAAACUAAACUAGUGAUCUGCUAAAAUCUCCCGUGUAUUAGUUUUAAAAAAAAAUCAUAUCUAUUUGGAUGGUUAUUAUCAUUUUUUUAUUCUGUAUUAUGAAAAAAACAGUAAAUCAUAAAAGGGAAAUCAAAACUUUCUCAUUUACUAUUUACCAGCAAUUCUAAGCGUGCCCCUUAAAAGUUAUAAAAUAUUAUUUAUAUUUUUUUAAGGUUGUUAAUAUCAAUUUUAGCAGUACAAAUUAAUGAAUUAUAUAAAAAAUGCACUUUAUCACGUUGAUUAAAAGUUUUGAAUUAGUUUGUCCCUUGUUGUACCUAAUUAUAAAUAAUUGUGUGGUAUUAUGUGCGGCUAACAAGUUUAUUUCUCACCUAAAAAUCACUUUUUUUUAUGAUUUAGUUUAUGAACAUUUUUUGUCUAUUAAGCUUUUUUAAAAUUCAAUAUCAUAGUGUGUUCCUGUCGAUGUUCAAUAAUAAUUAAUUAAACCUAAAAAUAUAUAAUUUUUUUGUAAAUUUAUCUUUUAUUGUGUCUAAAUUAGUAUAACUUUUUAGCUUAUUAUUUAUAUAAUUUUAAUCCGAAACCAAGUCCGAAUAAAAGAACCUAAAAUUCACAUACAAAAUCAAAAACCAAACCCAACUAUUCAAUAUACUAAAUCACUAAUAUAUAAUUAUAUAUAUAUAAUAGGUUUUUAACGGAUUUGAUUUUAGGUUCCGGUUCAAACACGGAGAAAAAGCAUAAUCAAAGACGAAUCCAUCAGGUUUUCUACAUAUUUAUAUCCCUAAUCGAAAUCAUAUUAAUUUAGCAUCGAUUAAACUCACUCAAUAUCUAUCUAUAUCUAUAUCUAUACAUUAUUUUUUAAAAAAUUUGUCACACGAUAAUAUUUCCUUUAUUAUUGAAUGUAUGCUUCACCAUAAACCAGCUUAAGUUCUUUCUCUUUCUUUACUUAAACCAGACCGAUUAUUAUUGAGUGUGACUCCUCCGAACUGGUUCAAAUCUUUCACAUAUGUUUUUCUUUCUUUAUUUGAAUGAAACAUGAUUUCUCUCUUUUUUUGCUUAAACCAAACCGGGUCAAUCUUUGGUAUUGGGCUGAACCGACCCAAUUGCUCCGCAUAUUUCAUCUUUGAACCAAAUUUUUCUCACUUUUUGCUUGAACCGAAUCAAUCACUACUCCACCUCGAGCCAGCUCAAGUUUUUCUCUGUCUUUGCUUGACCUGAAUCGGAUUUUUUUCCUGUUUGAACCGAAUUGGAUCACACCUCUGUAUUAGGCCAAACUGUUCCUCUUUUUCUUCCUUCGACUGUUAUCUUUGUUCUAGUCGUCGAAUUGCACGGAUUACUACAAUAUAAAAUUUGUAAAAAAACUUAGAUAUCUGUAUCCAUUGCCAUCGAUAAACAAAUGGAGCGGUAAGUUCACCGGGUAGUGCGCACAUGUCGCUUUAGUACGUCAGACACUCAGACCCCAACGAGUACGCCACCCUAUCAGGAGAGGGAAUCUUUGCGACGACCUUUUUAUUAGAAAAAAAUAACAAAUAAAAAUAAAAAUAAAAAGAUUCCGUUGGAUUCCGACGUGGCAGCGUCGAGAUUCCAACCGGUGACGUCAACAAGGGGGCGCGGGGUCCAAGACGCGGGCCCACUUUAGGUUUAAGUUUGGUAUGGAAGCUUAUCAAACGCUAUUAGAUAAAAUAGAGUUGAGAAAAAAAUAUAUAGAGAUAUAUUUUCGCAUUCUCCGGUGAGAUCGUAGAAAAUAUAUCGUAAACGGCUCAUCGCGAUAUACGGAACGCAAUAUUACGUACGGAAACAAACAUGAUAUUUUUUCAAUAUACUUUUUCACCGCACGUAACGCAAUCUCUCCGCAAUUCCAAACGAAGUCUUAAUUAAGAAAAAAAAAAGCAAUCCCAAACGAAGCCUUAAGUAAAAAAGAAAAAAAUGGAGACGUUGGUAGACGUAGAAAUUAUCGCCUGCACCUAGUGUAUGAGUAUAUCACUAAAACUCAUUAAAUAUAUUUUACAGUGAGCCUUGUUACUAUAUUUAUUUUAUAUUCAUGAAUCGUUUUCAAUAAUAAAACUUCUAAUUAAUUUGGAGCAUUUGAACAUUUUAAAUACUGAGUUUCAUAAUUUUUUCAACAUCACGCCGCUAUCUCAAAAUUGAUAAUUUAGCUAGUGGGUAUGGAGCAUUUUUAAAUUUAAUAGUACCAAAAGAAUUAGAAUAUAUGAAAUUUAGUUUAUAGAUACUUUAAUAAAUGCUCUAAUUCAAUUUAUUAAAAGCAACUAAUAAGUACGAAAGUCAUUAUACUCGUAAUAAUAAAGUAUCUCUACUCUUUUAUAAUAUUCAAAAUAUUUGCCUAAUUAUUGGUUUUGAAUAUAAUUUAUUAUUAAUUUUUUAAAUUUCUUAGCAGUAAGUUUUGAAAUUUUAUUUUUUAAAAAAUAUAGGAAUAAUUUCAUACAGUUCCUAAUAGAUAUAUAUCUACAAAGUUUAAAUUUUCAAAUUUAUCUCUUAAAAAAUUAUAAUAGUUUCAAAUAUACUUCUGUUGUUAGUGUCCGUUACAAAAAUAUAAUUAACUAUAGGAACGUUGAUGAGUGGGUAAGAUAAAUUGACCUUUUUACUCUCAUGAUAUCAUGAUUUUUUCUCUCAAUCAAAAUCCUAGCAAUGGAAACUCUUCUUCCUCUUCUUUUUUUUUUUUUCAUACGUUUCAAACUCGUAGAGUUACUGCAUCCCACUCAUCCACGGCACAUGUUCUUUUGCCUAUAUUGAAUGUGGAGGAAUAAAUAUUAGAUAGAUAAAAGAGAAAAGACAGAGAAAAAAUAGAGAAGAGGUUGCAAUGGGUUGGUUUUUAUAGAGAAAAAAACUAACCAUUGAAAAUUUGUUGGGAAGAUAUUUUUGCACGAUUCUAACAGAUGCAGCUUUUCAAGGGAUAUAUUUAUAAUGACAAAAUUGACAUUUUCACUGCUCUUCUGUUAAAAAAUUAAUAAUAAGCUAACAGUAACAAAUCAGAGUGGUAAAUAUGAAUAUCGUUGGACUUUUGAAGGGAUAAAUCUAAAAAAUUUAAAUUUUAUAACCUGUUAUUCGAUGUAUUUACAUAAAGUUGUAUGAAAUUAUUUCAAAAAAUAUAUAUAGACUUUUUAUAUAAUACAAAUCAUAUCCAAAAGAAUUGGAUUUCAAGUUUAUUCUAAUCCAUGAGAUACACGAAUAUACCGUCCCUAGCGCAAAUGGUAAAGAGCUUGAUCAUUAAUAUCCGAAAUCCUAAGUUCGAAUUCUAGUUGAUUCAUAUUUCUACGGGUAGCAUGCUACCUUUCUGUGUAAAAAAAUAAUAAUAAUAAAAAUAAAAAAAAUUCUAAUGCAUGAGAUAUAUGAAUACACCAGGUGCAGCCAAUAUUCUCUUCUUUGGAGGGGUUUUCGGUCAAAACCUGCAGCCAUUUGAUGACGUACGCGUGGAGAAAUAUUAGCCGUUGAAGGUUUCAAACAAUGACGUGAUUUUGAUUUAUUAGAUUGGAUGCUUCACAAGUGGCGUGGUUAACCAUUCAUUAAUCACGCAAUUAAUACGAUAGAAAUUAUGAUUCACGCUAUUUUAAACGUGAAAACUGUGAGACAACUAACCAUGCAUUGAAACCAGACCCAAAAAAAAAAGAAAAAAAAAAAACAUAUUUUAAAUUUUGGAUUUUAAAUUCUUAGAGUACACAUGUAGAUUUUUUUUAUCAGAUUUAUUGAAUUGAAUCACCCGCUAUAGGAGGUGAAUAUUAAGAAUAUUAACCUCGCAUUGAAUAUAAAUUAGAAUUUUGGCUUAUAUAUAAGGUUGGAGGUUUUUCAAUAGAUUGUAUUCUUAGAUUAAUAAGUCUUAAUGAAUACUCAAACAACACUUAUUAGAGAAACCAGAAAAGGAAAAACUAAUAAUUUUUUAAAGAUAAAAAGCAAUUAAGUAUCUAUCAUUACAGCUGAGCAGCUAUUACCUGCAUUGUAGUACUGGAAAACUGUUCAAAGAACUGCUUUAAAUUGUGUCCAAUUAAUAUCCUCCACAUUCAAUGAUCAAUGAAGAGGACAACAAAGAGGGCCAGAGUUGCUGGAGGAGGGUUUUUUUAGUGCAAUAGUUCUUUCCUAUAAUUUUAUUCUAAAAAUAGACUCGUUAAAUUUUUAUUUGUAAAUAUGGUUCUAUAAAAGUGGUGAAUGAUUCAGCGCUUUUAAAAGCGGUGAAUCAUUCACCGCUUUCUUUCUUUUUCUCACUUUUUUCUAUAUUUCUACGAUGGUAAAAACGGUGAAUGGUUCAUCGCUUUUAUUCUUUUUCUAUUUGAGUUAUGAAUGCGGUGAAUCAUUCAAGUCUUUUCUUCUUUCAUAGUAUCCGUCUGUAUUCAACAUGUUCUCGCAGAUCCCCUAUCAACGUGUUGUAGUAUUACAUCCGGAUUAGAUAAUAGAUAAAAGAGCAGGUAUUCGACACAAACACAAUUCAAAAAUAAAUGAUCUAUAGUUUCAAAUUCAACAGCACAGAGCACACAAUUUUGCUCUCCCUGCCAACCCCUUUUUAGCAUAUUAUCGGCGGUAAGUAAUCUUUAAUUUCCUCGAUACUACCCAAAACAAAUAAUUUAAUUUUCUCUACUAUCUCCAGCUUCCAAAUCAGCGUGGUGUUUCGGUCUAUUAACUCUACUGUGCUUAAGAAUCGCAAUUGCGAUAUUAAUGACGAAUUUAUUAUGUUAGGUGUUUCGGUCUUUAACUCUACUGUGCUUAAGAAUCUCAAUUGCGACAUUAAUGAGGAAUUUAUUAUGUUAGGCUUACCGUUGGCGCACCCGUAAACAUUUUCAGCUAAUUUCAAUUUAAAAAAGUACACAACACUCCAAAUCCUCCUCUCCUUUGAAAAUCUUCAGUAGCUUAGCUCAGCUGCAGUGUUCUUUUCGACGCUUUUCUUAUCCUGUAGUCAUUGUUGGUGGUUAGUAAUUGCCCAAAUUGUGUUUCACAAGAAUAAAAUAGAGUAUGGAAAAGCAACAUUUCUGCUACAGGUCAUAAGUUAAAAGUUUCCAAUUACAUAAAUAGGUGCAUGAUCAUGAAACAUGUCACUGUACGAGAUGAAGUGUGAAGUUAAAACAAGUUAUGGAUUAAAAAAUUCCGCUGAGAUUAGCCGAAGAUUACUGUUAGUAAAGCAACUAAGUUAAUGAGAAAUGAGAAAGAAAUUAAAAAAAAAGCAAUGGAAAGAGAGAGCAAACCACCAAAGGGGCCAAUCCAGGUGACUUUGUUACCUGCAACACUUGAAAAGUUGAUAGUGGCUUGUGCAGAGAGAUAUCAAUAUCUUAUUUACAAGAUCUAUGUGCCACCACAUCACCUACUUUGUCCUAUUUCAGGAACUAUUCAUCCAAAGAAAAAAGAAGGUGAUUAUUCUCUCCCUCUCUCUCUCUCUCUGUAUCUUUAAAGCUUCACCACAAAAGCUAUAAAAGCACUUUUGCCACAAAGGGCACUGUUUCAUUCAUUCUCAGCAACUAAAUGAAUCAUGGCAAGUUCAUCUCCAAGAUUCCUGCACCUUGUUUUGUAUGCAGCAAUCCAUGUGAUUCUAAAAUCGGCGAUUCUCGGUGAUUCCCGUUGCCCCCUUCUUCCUCCAAGUAGAAAGUCAGAAGCCAAAUUUCAGCAGAAAACGAGCAAAUUCUGGGAGUUUGAGGAGAAAAGCAACACAUGGGUGGAGAUCACCUUGCCCUUCGAUUUGAUCUCCUGUGUCAACAGCACCUGCACGAAGGUCGGAUCGAUCGACAGCGUCAGCAACGAGCAGAGCCAAGUUUCGGUUCAGCACGAAAGGGGAGGCGACGAGAGAAUUGAUAAUUCUGAGCCGGUCCUGCCGAUCAGGAGAAGGAUUUCACUGACUCGAAUGUCGGAGGCGUCGGUUUGGGUCACGGGGCAAAGCGGAUCGAUCUACGAGAGGUUCUGGAAUGGGGUGCAGUGGGUCAUUGCUCCUCAUGAGCUCCAAACUGAAGCUGGCUAUGCUGUUUCUACUUUCGUAGUAAAUCAAACCAUUCUCGCUUUGUCAGAAGCUGGAAUUCUCUAUCAGGUAAUCGGCAUCUCGUACUCUUCUAGUUGAAUUUCUCUUUUUUUCUGCAUAAUAAAUUUAAUUCUUAAUGCAUCAGCAUAAAAAUCUCGGUGCAGUAUCAGGUUCCAUAUGAUUUUGUUGUUUAGUUUUACUGCUACUGUUUACUGUUACUAUUCUCACACUCUUUAGAUAAAUAUUGGAUCAUAUUGGAUCAUAUAUAAAGCUGCAAAAAGCGAAAACCAAAGAUACUUGGUUCAACUAAAUGCUAUGCAAAAGAAUACAAACUUACAAAUAUUUCUCACAAAUAUAAAAUCAAAAGCAUAGGCUAUUUUGGGAAAGAAAUAUCUUUAUGUCAUAAUAUGUCCUACAGAGAAAAAGACAGAAGAAUAGAAAAGACGGUUAAUACUAUGCAAGGAGGAUAUGUUGAGUAAUUCGCUAUAUAAGUUAAAAAUGUAUCAGAGCCCCUGAACAGCGGGCCGAUUGAAAUAAACCCCUUAGCUGUUUUUCUUUUCUUUUCUUUUCUUCUAACAAACAAAUUUGAGUUGGUUUUCUGAGGUGAAUUGAGGAUUCAUAAAAAUUAGCAGCUUCAUUAGCUAUAAAGCCUCUGACAUUUAAGCACUAUUUGCAGAACCAUCAGCUUGCCAACUAAAUUAACGGAAUCACCAUUAACAAAAUCUCUUAGCUCAAUUGAAAAAGAAAAAAAAAAGUAAAUCAAACUAAUCAAAAGUCGAGGAACCGUCAUUCAAAAGAAAAAUAUAAUGCAGCAUUCAUGUUUGGUUUAAUUUUAACUUGCUGAAUCUUGAUACUUUCAGCUGCAACUGAAUGAGAAAUCUCAGCCUAUCUGGACAGAACUAGUGUUUAAAUCUGAACAGCAAAGCACGAGCACUGACGAAACAGAACCAAGUCGAAUCGUCAGAGUAAAGUCGGGCGUCGUAUCCUGCGAUGGGAAGUGAGUAAUCUGGUACAUAUAUAUACAUAUUUUGCAUUACUCAGAAUAACAUAUUAUUUUAGAGCAAUAAUUUUAUUCCCUUUAACUAACCAAGUUAAUACCCUGCAUGCUAACAAGUAUAAUUCCUCUGCAUCAGGAGACUGCUUUUAUCUGCAAUGAAUGGGUCAUUGAUCGAGAUCAUCGAAUUCCAGCCACUGAGGUGUGGAAAAGCUUGUAAUACAUACAAAAAACACGAUGAUAUAAAACGCAUAUAUGUGCUACUUUAAAAUUUUGGAAAUUACUACUUAACCUUGUAGUAAUUUUGAUUUAGGUACCCAUAUCAAAAUGCGUAACAAUUUAAUAAGUUUUGUAUAUGUGAGUUGUAGAUUGCUCGUUUUUUUGAUCGAUGAGUAUAACAGAGGAAACAAGAGUAACAAAAUCUAAAUGAUUAUUAAACUGAAACAUAGGUGGGAUAAUUAUGGCCGACCACCGGGUGGAGAUGUUUCCGCUGUGGCCGACAUCGGGAACAUUAGACCAGGGAUCUUGUUCACAAUAAGGUAAGUUAAUCUUGCUUUCAUUAUUUAUGGACAAUUUCUUUUUAUGUUCUGAAAAAAUUAGGACUCAAAAUUCACUUUGUAUGAUUCUAUAACUAUGACAGCUAAAAUUAGUGAAACAAAGAGCUUUCGAAUCUAAUAAACUUUUGAUGUACCAUUGUUAGUAGAUAGAAUCAAUAUAGUUGCAACCAUUUUCAAUCAUACCAUAUGUUAGUAAAGAAGCCAAUAUCCGAAGUAAACUAGAUCAUGAAGUAACAUUUCUCGCAAAUUUUGCAGAAUACUUCACAAGAGCUUAUAUCGACUUGUGAUAAUCGCUAACUAGCGACGGUGAUUGCAAAGGACCUUCUAAAAGAAAUAAGGCCAUAGCGAACAAUAUACUUUGUCAUGCUAAUACUAAUCCCCACAGUGCAGUUCUGCUGGUGAUCUUUACGAAUUCGACAAGAACUCGAAACCAUCAUGGAAGAAACAUAUAUGGAGCGAGGCAUCGAUGAAAGAAAAUUCACUGAGGCCAUCGGCUGGAUGUACUUUGCAUAACAUAGUUGGCGCUCAAUCUGUUUCUCUUUUCCUGAUCUCUAAGGUAUGCCUUAACUUUGUUAGCACCAUGAAAUCAAGUUGAAAUUAAAUGUUCAAACUCAGUGAGAAGAUUUUAGGACCAAGAAUCAAACUAAUGUAAACACUAAGUAUGGCCAUCAAGCUCGUCGAAUAUUUAAUGAUGGUUAAGAUUCUUAUUUAAUAAGUAUAACUACUGAGAAAAGUUUUGAGGCAUUUAUUUGUUACAAAGACUUAAAGAUCCACAGGAUGGUUUUUUAGUAGAGCGACGGUUGCACAGAAGGAAGUGGAAGUGGGCGAUCCACGGAGCACCGAACAAUCAGCAGUUGAGUGCUAUUACGCCAAUUCAACUAAAUAAGUUACAUGGAAAGAAUUCGUCUUUGUUCUUAACCACGACAACCGGACGCGUGUUUGAAUAUCGGCUUCUCAAACAUUCAGGUAGAUGCCAACUUCUUCCGACUGAUGACUUUUCUUUGCUUUUCUUCAGUUUAAGACCACUUAACAGUGAUUUUUAACCACCAAAAUAGCACAGCUUAAACAACUAGACAUCCACAGCUUACCAAAGUAGCUCACACAUGAAAGUAGGGUAUAUUUAUAUGUUCCCAGAUUGUGCAGAAACUUCAGUUAGUCGAACAGUACAAGACGCAACGGAUAUGCGAACUAGUAAUAUAGCAGAAUUUGACAAAGUAUCGAAAGAAAGCAUGCAGAAUUUGACAAAGUAGCAGAUAUUGGUUAAGUGUAUUUGCUGCAAACUAAGAUAAAAGCUAAAUAUGCAUUAUAAGUUUAUAAUGACUAUUAACAGUGUCCAAAUUUCCGAUUUGAUAACUAAAUUGUUUGGUCACUUACCCUCCGACUUUGGUUUCGACUACCAAUUCUUUCUAAAAGAAAAAAAUUGACAUAUUUGAUUUUUUUUUUUCUUUUUUCUUUGCUUGAGAAAAGGCGGCACCCACGGUAACAAAAUAGAAGGGCAGUGGAUAAACCACAAGUUCCCAGGGCAAGCAAAGGUUGCCCGAGGCGUACCAGGAGUCGAGAUUCAAAUUGGAAGAUUGAUAUUCCCGCUCGAUGAUGGUAGACUCGGGGAGCUGCAUUUUCCUGGCAUUGGAGGCGAUGAUUCGGGUCCUGCCCACAUAAGUAGCAUAAGAAGGAAAGCUUCGAAUAAGUACAAGUGGUCGAUCUUAGACGCUCCCGAAACAGAAGGGUGGAACGCAGAAUACUGCACCGAAGAACGAGGCCUCGCAAACUGCAUUCUAGGAAUAAACAAUGUAGUUGAUAAUAGCGAAACAAAUAUGCUGAGAAGGCGUAAGGGAGACGAGCAGGAGAAUUACGUAUCUCUGAGCAAUCAAGAAAGUGACGGAAUAGAAAAUCACAACUUCUUAACAAGGAGCAUUUACCUUAACUUUCGAAUGAGAGUGCUGCACGCCGACAGAUCGCUUUUCCUCGUAACGGAGAGCGGAAUGACUUUCGAAUAUCUUUACACCGACAACGUCUGGCUGUGGCUAAGGCAUGAACACACGACGGGGAUGAGGGGCCUGUUGGGAAGCUACAAUGGAAGCUUGUUCUUGGUGGAUGUAAAUGGAUACUUGCUUAUUCGAGAAAGAAACGGAGACGAGUUAUCGUGGAUCAAUUGCACAGCCAUGAAGAAGGGAAGGCAGGUGGCAAGCGGGCCGCCGUGGGACGGAAUUCCCGGUAGAUCGCAAAGAGUGACCGUCGAAGAUGCCAUCUUCUUUGUCAACAAGAAAGGGAGAUUGAUUCAGUUUACGGUGAGUUCGCAUGUGUCAUUAACAGUUGCACAAAAUAUUCUUAAGCUAGCUCAGGAACCACAGAGGUAACACAAAUUGCGCAAAACAUAUGUGUCAAUGCUUUUACGCAGAGAAUGGUGUAUAGUACUUUCUUUUAAACUUAAACAUGAUUCUUCAUUGUAUUUUCGAUUCUUGCGGUUGACAAGAUGCAUUCGGCACUGUAAUACGAAAUAUUCUCGCGCACUUUCAGGUCGCAUUGCGAAAAUUCAAGUGGAAAGACUGCCAGAGCCCUCGGGACACGAGGAUCGCAUUCAUCGUGGACCAGGAGGUCUUCAGAAUGAACAUCGUAUUCGUCGUCGGCCGCAACGGCCGCCUGUACCAAUACAACAGGAUCACGGAACUAUGGCACAAGCACCGCCAAUCCCCUCACCUCGUACUCUCGAGAAACCCAGGAACGGCCGCGCGACCGUCCCUGCAGUCCCUGUCGGGCUCAAUUUUCAUGAUCUCAGAGAGCGGAGGCCUCGUCGAGUACCACUGGAGCUCCCAAGAUGGCUGGGAGUGGGUAGAGCACGGGACUCCGUAUCGAGACGUCGCACUAGUCGGCGCGCCAGGGCCGUGCUUUGACGGAACUCAGCUGUUUGUGAUCGGUUCUGACGGUAAUGUUUACAGAAGGCAUUCAGAUGGAAGAACAUGGAAAUGGACGAGCCAUGGGCAUCCGACUGAGCAGAAUUCGGAUUCGGAAGGGGGUCAAGAAAGGAGAGAUGGUCGUGUUUGUGCCGUCGGCGAUCCUAUGCCUGCGAACUACGAGGCCUACUACUCGAACAGUUUCGCUGGAAACUGCAAUGAAAAGGUUAGUUCAUCUACUGCCGUAUGCAAAAUGAUGCAUGACAAGCAAACACAACACAAAUGCUCAUUCAAAAUUCGCAGGUGGCGCCAAUUCGACCAAUACCGUUUUCCGAGAACUCGGUGAUCUUCGAGUUACAAGAUGGAAGGGUAAGUGAAGCAACUUGUUAGAUCUUUAAUCUCUUGAUAAAACUUAAUUAAAUGAGCAUACAUUGAACUAAAUUUGCAUAGGGAAAUAUCUAAUCUAAUGAUAAUAUUAUGCUUGCAAUUGAGAUCAAUGGAACAUCAAGCAAUUCAAGUUGAAAAAUUGCAAAAGGUGUUACUGUGUUAGUGAAGCUGAGGAGUCAUCAUACAUUCCCAACUAGUAGGAAUAUCACAUUACCAUUUUAAAUACCAUUCCUAGAGCUAGAGCUAUAAACGAGUGAAAUGAAUUGAUCUUUUAAAGGGUUUGGAAAUGGAAAGUUGGAAUUGUGAAAUCCAAUGAUGCCUAUUUUAUCACAUAAAUAUGAAAUAGUAAGAAUUAAAAGUUUUUAUAAAAUCUUAUAUCCUUAAAAAUGUGACAUUUGAAAACCUACCUCCUUUCCUGGUAUUUUUUUUUCCAAAAAAAAUUACUUUUAAAAGACUAAAAUACCCUUUUGAAAUUUUAUUUCUGUUCCAAAAUUUUAAAUUGAGUACAAUAAACAAAUGAAGUAUUGAAUACUGUAAAUUUAGGAGUGCUUAAAUAGACCUCAUAUUUUUAAAUAGUUAUGAUCUUUUAUGUGAUUAAUCUGGUGUAAAAUAAUGUAUAAUAAUAAUAUUAGGGCUUGUUUGGGUCAAAAUUGGAAUAAAAUCGGAAUAGAAAUGAGAAUAGACCGGAAUCAGAAACAAAAUGAUGAAAACUCCAUAUUUGUUUGGUUCAUAAGAGAAACCAGAAUCAAAAUCAUGCUCAAAUUGAAUUUAUAAAAUUUAAGCUUUAAUUAAAAUUUAAGUUUACUAUCCAAAUCCAUAAUCAAAACCUGAAUCUAUAUUUGAACUCACAAAUUGAACUUAAAUUUGAAUUUACGAUGCAAAUUCAAGCUCAAAUUCAAAAUUUAUAUUUAAAGCUACGUCCAAAUAUCAAACUUAUAUUAAAAGUUCAAUUUGAAUUCAAAUUUUAAAAUUUUAAAAUUGAAUAAAUAAUUCAAAUUUUAAAUUUCAAAUUAUAUAUAUAUAUAUGUAUUAAUAUUUAAAUUAAAUAAUUGUUAGCGGAAAAAAAAAUAUUUUUUCCUCAUAAGUUGAUUUCCACCUUCAUAGUGAGAGUCAUUUUGGAAAGAUGAAAGAUUCGAUUUGUCCCGAAAUGGAAAUUAGAAUGUCGAUCCCUUAAACCAAACACCAGCAAUAUAAAUGAAUGAUUCUCAUCCCAAACCUCAAAUUCUUCAAACCAAACAUGUCUUUACUCUCUAUGAAAAAAAGAUUUUGCGUUAAUUUUAUUGAUAUAGUUGGGUAAUUUUCUUAAAAGUUAAUUCUCAUUGAAAAUUUUAAAUCACGUGAACCAAACAGACCCUAAAAACUCAAACCUUUUUGAGAUUUUGAUUCCUAGAAUUAUAAAGAAGAAAUAUAUCUAAUUUUUCAAUCUACUGUUUGGUCUCAUAAGUCAAUAGAAAUUCAUUUAUUUGAGAAUGAUUUGGUGGAUUCCUCGUAAUACAAAUGACUCAUUUAAUGCCUACAAAUUUUUGUGUGAUUAUUUUGGUGAGAAUCCAUUUGCCAUUGAUUAUUCUUUACCAAGAAAUCCAAAAUACCCUUCCUUAAAUUAGUUACAACAUAUUUCUCAUAUAAAUGGGGAUAGAAAGGGAAAAGUAGACAUUAAAACCAGUUUAUUUUUUUGAGAGAGAAAGGUAGCUAGCAUGUUACUGCUUCGUUUAUUUCUUUUAGAAAUAAACUUAGCUGAAAAAUGUGAAUCAACUAGAAUUCGAACUUGAAACCUCGGAUUGAAACCAGUUAUCUUAGUGCCAAAAGGAGUGCAGAUAAGUUUAACACGUCAGUGUCAGGUAACAAUAUUUAAUAUAUGGGACGAUUGCUUAUAUGUCUCUACAAAGUUCCUAACUAUCUAAUAACCGUAAACUAAAAUCCCAAAUUUAUGUAAUUUUAUUCUCAAAUACACCCUUCUAAAAUUUCAAAUUCUCUUCAAUAAAUCCUCGAAUAGGAGUGUAUAAUUAAGAAAGGAAAGAAAACUUUUCCGCGGUAUAUUUGAAACGAAGGAUAAAUAGAAAAAAUUUAGCAAGUUUACAAAAGUACACGGGCAAUUUUCUCUUAACAUUUCAUGUUUCACCAACUAAUGAACAGCUUGCGGAGCUGCGGAGACCGGAGGAGGCCGGCGACUGGGGAUGGGCGCGGAUCGUCGGCACGCCGACGAGCCCGUGCUUGACGAGCUACUGGACGGCGGUGGCGGCGUGAAAUGCGGCGCCACACUAAACAAGCCAAAUUCUAGCAUUGUACAUAAGAAGAGAAGCAAAAAAAACACAAACACACAUCUUGUUUAUAGUUAGAGAAAGUAAAACAUAGAAACAUUGAAGGAGAGAAUAUAUGUAAGCAGGAGUUGUAUCAUGCCAUGCAUUUUGUAUAGGAUAGUUAACAAAUUGUAGUACGUACGUGCAUGGAAUAUAAUUCUAUUUAGUAGUCAUAUAUGAAGGUGUUUUUGUGACUCUUGGUUUGUUCAGAAGAGAGCCGGGAAAAAUGGAUUUUGAGUUGGACUUGUUUGGAAAUAAUACUAGGCUAUAUAUGUUGGGUUACGUAGACAUUUUAUCAUGUAUAUCUCUCCAAUUUGUAGAAGUUUUAUAGUAAAUUUUACUUGUACACUCAAAAAAAAGAGGUGUAGAUCUUACACUCCUGAUCUUAGGUCACAGAAAUCUACUUUGGAGUUUAGCAGUAGUAUUGCUCAAGUAUUAAUUAGACAUCAGAAUACUUUUCAAAGAAUAACUUUUUUGGUAUGAGUUUAUUUCCUAAUGGUUCUUAGAGUAGCUGGUUGAAGGGCUUAAUGGUUGGGUAUCUAAGGUCCCAGUUCAAAGUUUAAUUUUUUUACAUUUCUAGUUAAGUUCAUUUCUUGAAAUGAUUGGGAUGGAUAGCUUGCUACGAGAAUUUUGAUUAGAACUAUGGGAGUUUGAUUUGAUAGCCAUAUUUAUAAUAUUGUGAAACACCAAAAUGUUAUCUAUUCUAGACAUUUGAUCACACUCAUCGUUUACCAAAUGUAACGUGAAUUUUUAAUAAAUUGAAGGAAUAUAUUGAAAAAAAAAGAUGUCCGUGCAUCUAAUUAGAACCUAUAUUAAAUCAUACUAUCAAAUUAGGAAUGUUAAAACAUUUCAAAGAGCAAAAAUCUAGCUCCAAGUUUUUAACCAUAUAAGAAAAUCUUUAUAUCAAGUAAAUUGUUAUUGAAUAUUCUAUUUCAACAUCCAAAUAAGGUGCAAAUAACUAUUUUUUUGGUCCCACUGAAUCUUCUUUUAACCAGGCCAAAAACUCAUUUUAACUUUUUUAUUGCAAAACCAACCGUCUCUAGAACAAGUGGCAAAAGACUUGGUGGUUGGUAGCUGAGUUUAUUUGUAAAUGAAAUAAAUGAAAAUCUCUCUCUCAAAAAAAAAAAACUUUUCUGCUGCAAAAGCCAUAAUUUUUUUGUUGUAACCUUAUUUGAUAUUGUACGCUUCUUGAAUCAGGGAGCAAAAAUCUAACUCCAAACUUCUAAUCAUGUAAGAAAAUCUUUAUAUCAAGUAAGUUGUUAUUGAAUAUUCUAUAUCACAACAUCCAAAUAAGGUGUAAAUAACUAUUUUUGUCCCACUAAAUCUUCUUUUAAGGAGGCGAAAAUCUCAUUUUAACUUUUCUGCUGCAAAACUCCUCUAUCUGUUAUGAGCCAGAAUAUUUUUUUGCAAACUUAUUUGAUACUGUAGUCCUUUUUUUUAUUAUUUAAAUGUGUUGGUACAUAAUAUAUAUAUAUAUAUAUAUAUAUAUGAUCCACCAAAUCCACAUUCCCCAUUGCAUAUAAUUCUUAUCGAAGAAGACAAAAGGGAAGCAACAUUAACAAACAAGGCCACAGCUACUUACCCUCCACAUGGCACUUUUAAAAACCUAACACUUAAAUCCAAAAUCAGAAUUUAAUUUAUUACGUCUAUUUUAUUGCAAACAAAUCAUGACUCAUAUAUCAAAAAUCAUAAGUUUUGAAACAUAAAUUUUUUUUUAUUAAUGGAGCAUUGCCCCGUUUUAUGCCGUUGAAUUUUUAGAUCGUUUGAUGCCUAGAUAAUAAGUUUUUUUUUUUUUUUAGAGAGAUAGGUAGCACACUAACUGCUUCGUUUAUUUCAUUUAGAAAUAAACUUAGGGCCCGUUUGGUUCGAGUUAUGUAGUAUUACAAAAUAUCUCGACAUAUCUAGGUAUAUUGAAUUUCGGCGUGAGAUUACUACUGAUGCUGCAUUAGAGCGUUUGAUUUAAUACAGUAAUGUAAUACUAGAUUACAGUGUUUAUAGCAUUAAUAUGUUUGGUUCAAUUUAUAAAAUUUAGUAAUUCUGACAUAAAAGUAUAGUUUUUUUCAAAAUUACCCGUGUUGUGAUCAUUUGAAUAUUAUUUUUUGCGGAAAUGACGAAUGGAGGGAAGGAGAUCGUGAUGAUUACUUAGGAGGACGACACAAUAGAAGAUGAUAGGUGUUCGUGCAAGAGAGAGAGAGAGAGACAUCGAGAGAGAGAGAGCGAGAGAAAGCGGCAUGCGAGAGAGAGGGCCGGGGGGAAGGCGAGAGAGAGAUAAAAAUAAUGCUGUUAAUUAGAUUUGGGGUUGUUGGAGGGUAAAAUUGUCAUUUUACAUAAUAUAUAGUAUUAACGGGUUUCAGUAAUGCAAGAUACAUGACCCCUCUCCCGUUAAUAUAUUCGAUGUAAUUCUGCUCGAUUUGUAAUGUUACAUUAACAACUAGAUUACAUAGCGGAUUAACCAAACACAGUUAUCCUGACAGGAUUGCCUGUAAUCCUGCCAGGAUAACCCGAACCAAACGCACCCUUAGCUGAAAAUGUGAAUCAACUAGGAUUCAAACUUGGGUCUGGGGUACCAACCAACAAGCCCUUUGCCACUUGCUUAGGAACGAUCGGUAGAUAAUAAGUUUUUAAAACUAUAAUUUUUUUUUUUACGUAGACUUCAUAUAUAAUUGUAAAUCACAUUAAGUAAAUUAAAUUAAAUUUUAAAAUGUUAAUUAUUAAGAAAUUAUGUAUGUGUUAUAUGUAAUUAUAAUUAUAUUGCAGUUAUAAUGGUACGCAUAUUCAAAUAAACUAUUUGGUUUGACGUAUUUGGAAUCAAACUACUAUAGUUAAAACUGUAUAAGAAACAUUGAUAGCAAGAAUUAGGACUACGCCCGAAGUAAAGACGACUCAAAUUAUAGCAAUCACAGAGUGUAACUUUAAAAUAAAUAUAAACUAGUGUAGACCCGCGCUUCGCUGCGGAUUAGUAGAUCGUGUUAAUUAAUUUAAGUAAGCUGGUAAUAAGAAAAUAAUUUAUGGUAGAGGAGGCAGAGGAGGAGGUGGCCCGGGACGCCUCGCGGUGGUGGUGCCGCGGCUCACGGCGCACAUGGAGGUGGGGCUGAGGAUGAUGGUGGUGGAGAGAAGGAGAUGAAGAGAAGGAGAUGAGAUGAUAUGUACUUAAGCUUUUGAUUUAGAUGGUUAAUUAAUUAUGAGUAAUGAUAAAUUAGUUGUGUGGUUAAUUAAUUAGUUAAUGUUAUUUUGUUUAUUUAAUUCUCAAUCAUAUAUAGUAGCAGUAUUAUAAUGCAUCAUUAAAAGUUUUAACACAACAUCAGCACGUAUAAUACAGCGGAGGGUUACAAUAUUAUUGAAAAUAGUAUUUCAGCAUAAUGCAAGAGUAAAAUACAGUAGUAAAUAUAAUCCUUCACAUCUUGUCUUCAUUUGUAGAGGGAGCUUCAUCGAAACUGAAAAUAAAAGUGAAGCUUUUAAUUUACGCUACGUUUAUAUU
rnacentral:lncRNA from 1 species